GACAAAAGUAAACUUUUUCGACGGCGAUGCAUAAUAGAAUCCAAGCAAUUGGACCAGAUUCCCCGAGCGAUGCGAGCGUUUGAAAAGCACGUGCUCUCGCUGAGCUUUGAUUAGACAUGGAGGAAUAGGCAAAAAGAACGCCGGAAGACGCAGCUCUGCCGUACAGAGAAUAGGGAGAACAGCUCCAGGAGGUGCUGGCGGCGGCGGAUGGUAAAAGAGAGAAUAUUGCCGGCGAAAGAUCCGUGUGAAUGGAGUACAUAUGCAACAGAAAGUUAUCCAUGAGGGCAUUAAUCCUCGCACUAGGCUCAGCAACUCCAAGGUACCAGGGCAUAUCACAUUACGAAGAGCUAUAAUUCAAUGAUCAUAAUGCAAUUCCUUGCCCUGGUGAGCUCCUUGUGUAAGAGCACCAUAGCAACUACGGAGAGCCAUGGGCAGGUGGGCAGAUGUCUUUGGAUUCCUAGCUGAAGUUGCCGAUCUACCACCCAGCCUACAAGUGCUUGAGAUUGGUUGACACAGUCAUUGUUGGGGACCUGGGGUGCAUUUUAUUCUCCACCUUAGUCCUCAACACUGCCACUGUUUUGAAAGGGAUGAGCUCUCGCUAAUGACUGCACUAAGAUGCGAGCCUCCUUCUCAUGGUCUUCUAUGCAACCAACAUUGUGCGAGGGAAAUUCUCCAAGUUUGGUUCAGGAGUUAUGAUUUAAUAUAUGCAAGUUCUUUGUUUCUUCACAUGCUUGUCUGGGUUGGACUAGAAACAUUAUAAGUUAGUAAGUUGAAGGGCCAGGAAUGUAAUUAUAAUCUUUGUGUCAGAUGAUAUGAAGUUCAUUCAAGAUUGGGAGGCGAGGAAAGUACUUAAAGGCUGACAAGCUUGGGCUAGAGUUCAGGAAUGCGUAGGAAUUAUACUUUUUAAUCACAAUAAUAUUGAUUUUAGUUUAUAAAGUUCAAUGCUUGAGAGAUUUCGAAUAGAGUUUAUUGGUUUUGGUUUUGGGUAAUUGUGAUUCAAGAUUGAAGCAAACCUGACUUUUGUAAGAAUUCUAUUGUUGUUUCCGAUCAUUUACCUCUACUCUUCUCAGAGGCUAGCUCUUUAUCAUUUUGUUCAUCUGUUGAUAGUUGUAAGUAGACAACAGUGUCAUCUUGAAGAUUUUUAUCAAAUAGAUCAUCUGCUUGUAGACAAAGUUGAAGACUUCAAAUGCUCCCUGGCGAGAAAUUUUAUGAACAUGAUUUUAAUGAUUCGCAAAUUAUGAAGGUGGGGGAUUCUUCUUUUGCCAAAUUAUGUAAUGGCUAUGGCCAGUGGUGUACUUGUCCACUAAAGGUGAUUGGAAAGCAAUCGUUCUCCAAGGUUGGAAAGCAAUCGUUCUCCAAGGCUUUGGCUUGAACCAUUAACCAACAAGUUUUAUUGUAGGAAGCACCAAGAGUCCUACUUUCUAACAAAGAAAUGUAAAUGUGUGUGUGUGAGAAAGAGAGAGAUUUUGAUUUUUACAUUAAUAUGAUGUAACAUGUAAAGGAUGAUGUUUUGAAAGAUUGGUCUUAGUUCCUUGGGAGUUAGGUUUAAUGUAAUCUUUGGUUGGUAUUGAGAAUAUGCAAGUUGCAGGUGCUCAUUAUGUAACAUCCAAAAAAAUAAUCAUAUUACGCAAGUCAAAUUUAAGCGACCCCUGCCUUAUUAGGAGAUAAAACGCUUGUAGCUGUAUGGCAUUAUAUUUUGUAAUUUUAAUUAUAUUUCCCUUUCAAUUGAGAAAUAGUAAUUGCAUAAAUUUUCUUUCUUAUUCUUUCAGCAUCCACAUUUGAGAAGUGAUCAAGAGAUACCAGCAUGAAGUUGCCCUCAUGUUAGGCUGAAAUGAGCCAGUAUUGCUUCAAGUGGGAUUAUAGAGGACUGCUGGCUUGAUUUUUCCGACCAGCAAGGAUAACUGUGGGUGGCUUUUUUUCUGCAUUUAGUGAACAAGGGAAAGAACCUAGAUUCUGAACUGAACAUAGCCUGUAAAAUUAUGUAUAUAUAUAUAUCAGAUUCAGAAGUUUUCCUGCAAUUUUUCAGUAGGCUUUCCUUUUUGGAAAAUUUCAUGGUGUUCCUCUAAGUUAUCAUUUAUUUUUCCUUGGACUUAUAUAUGAAUAUUUUAAAAAUGAUGGAUAUUUUGGACAAUCUUCAGUCCUAACCCUGAUUUCCACUCUUUUAAACUUUCAUAGUGACCAAACGAUACAAAGCAAUAUCUUAAAAAAGUUAUGGGUAAAAAGGUGUUCUAAUAUAGGCAGUCAAAAAUAGUGAUAUCCACUCAAGUGGGAUUCACACUUUUCUGAUCUGCAAGAAACAGUGGUGUGGAAUAUGUCCUCUGCUGACAUGAAAACUCUUGCUUGAUAUCAUGCGCAUUUGGAAUUCAGACACCCUUAGGAAACAGCCACUGCGUUCUUGUGCAGUUGUGCUUGAUCAUGUGAAAGAUGCUUUUCCCAUUUUUAAUUAAGUGCACUUGUUUGCAAGUUGUGCACAUAAAAUAGUGCAAUUCCAAUAGCAUCUGGCCAGUGCAUUAUCUAAAAAGCCUAUGACCAUUCUUUUCAUAGUAGAAAGCUUUCUGAUCUUCUCUUUAACCAAGAUUAAAGCAAGCCAAACAUGUUUGACACUCCUUUGCCAAGGAGUGAUUUCAAUUUUCAUCAAAGUUGGGCUGUACCAAAUUGUCAAAAUACUCUUAGUCUACUGGCUGAUUAUUGUGUUGCUUACCAUAUUAACCAUCACUUUUGUUGGCACACUUUGUAAAUAGUAGUCUACUUUUCUUUUGCUUAUUUUGCUUCCAAAGUAUACUGUGCUCAUUCUCAAAAGGAGUGGUGGUGGGUGACUAACUGUCUUCUUUAUGCUAAUGCAAGGUGUUGUAUUUUACU